GUCGAGCGAAUGGAUUAAAGAGCUUGCUCUUAUGAAGUUAGCGGCGGACGGGUGAGUAACACGUGGGUAACCUGCCCAUAAGACUGGGAUAACUCCGGGAAACCGGGGCUAAUACCGGAUAACAUUUUGAACUGCAUGGUUCGAAAUUGAAAGGCGGCUUCGGCUGUCACUUAUGGAUGGACCCGCGUCGCAUUAGCUAGUUGGUGAGGUAACGGCUCACCAAGGCAACGAUGCGUAGCCGACCUGAGAGGGUGAUCGGCCACACUGGGACUGAGACACGGCCCAGACUCCUACGGGAGGCAGCAGUAGGGAAUCUUCCGCAAUGGACGAAAGUCUGACGGAGCAACGCCGCGUGAGUGAUGAAGGCUUUCGGGUCGUAAAACUCUGUUGUUAGGGAAGAACAAGUGCUAGUUGAAUAAGCUGGCACCUUGACGGUACCUAACCAGAAAGCCACGGCUAACUACGUGCCAGCAGCCGCGGUAAUACGUAGGUGGCAAGCGUUAUCCGGAAUUAUUGGGCGUAAAGCGCGCGCAGGUGGUUUCUUAAGGUGGUUUUUUAAGCUUGAUGGGCAAGCACGCGGCUCACCCGUGGAGGGUCAUUGUAUCUGAGAGACUCGAGCGCAGCAGAGGACAAGCGGACUUCCAUGUUUGUGGUGAAAUGUGUAGAGACAUGGAAGGACACCAAAGGCGAAGGUGAUUUUCUGGUCUGUAACUGACCCUAAGGCGUGAUAGUGGGGGGAGCGGUCAGGAUUAGAUUCCCUGGUAGUUCCCGCCGUAAAUUAUGAGUGCUAAGUGUUAGAGGGUUUCCGCCUUUUAGUGGUGAAGUUAACGCAUUAAGCACUCCGCCUGGGGAGUACGGCCGCUAGGCUGAAAAUCAAAGGAAUUGAUGGGGGCCCGCACAACCGGUGGAGCAGGUGGUUUAAUUCGAAGCAACGCGAAGAGCCUUACCAGGUCUUGACAUCCUCUGAAAACCCUAGAGAUAGGGGUUCUCCUUUCGGACCAGAGUGACAGGUGGUGCAUGGUUGUCGUCAGCUCGUGUCGGGAGAUGGUGGGAUAAGUCCCCCACCGAAAGCAACCCUAGAUAUUAGGCGGCAUCAUUUAGUCGGGCACUCUAAGGUGAGUGACGGUGACAAACCGAAGGACGGCGGGGAUGGCCCCCAAUCAGGGCGCCCGUUAUCACCUGGGUUCCCGACGCGCGCCAAGGGCCCAACCAAAGAGGCUUCUUCGAGGCUAGGUGUAGGACCGGCGCCAUCUCCACGGCGUACGGCUCGGGCCUUGAGGGACUCGAUCCCGACCACCUGAAGACGGCGCCCACGCUGAAUCACUACCCGGCCAACAACAACGAGGUCACCCGCGACACCUCGUCGUCGGAGAGCCGCCGCGGGGAAGCACGAGUACGACGAGGCGCCUUCAAACGAGCCAUCGCG
rnacentral:rRNA from 1 species